CACUUUCUCUCUUGGAUCCAGAGUCACUGAGAACACUUUGGAACCAGAGCCCAAAAUGAGGGCUCAGCUGGGAUAUUUAUAUUUUGCUAGUUAUCUAUGCAUA